CCUAACGAACCGCUACAUAAGCAGCGCUGCAGAAAGCAGCAAAUUAACCCAAAAAAUACCAACAAGAACCCAAUGCCUAGACAUAUAGGCAACCCGCAGCACCAACCAUCAGCAGGGGACAAGCUGAAUGACCCAAAACAAGACUACAUAAAACGCAUCAAGGACCACAGCACCGUGAUGGCCAUAGAUCGAACAAAGUGCAGCCAUAAUGGAAACAACUCUGUAGCACAGGCCACAACUGGACGCAUGCCAGCAGACAACAGCAAGGCUCCUCCUCUGAGAAGCAAUCAUCCGUGAGGAAAGCCAACCUGCAAUACAGCAGAAAACAGCAACAACCAACAGCAGGAAACCAGCCCGCCAGGCUGGACACAACAAACCAACUGAUUGUACAGAGCAACCAGAGGAACCAGCAGCCCACUUCAAGAGAUUGAGCCGACCAAACAGCUUCAAGAAGCACAACACAUCAGGCUGCAUAUAGCAGCAUCAACAGCCAUUCCAGCAGCAAGAAGAGGGAGUGGCAAACCCAGCAGCAACUACAGAAAGGGCAGCAAAUGAACCUGCAUAUAGCAGCAACAAAUAGCAGCAAAACAGCACCUCAUGAAAUCAGCUAUUCGAUGGAUUGGUGACUGGCUCCUCUUCAUAACCCAGGUACUUCUCAGCACCCAGACCCUGUUGUCGGGAAAUCGAGAAAUCUUUUCUCUAGUCUUAGAAGUGGUAGGAAAUUUCCUACCCCUUCUAUUCUGUAAAGUUUAUUCUGCUGGAUUUUCAGAGGGCGUAAUAGCCCUCUGAACCAUCAUGAGGUGACUCACCUCAUGAAAUCAGCUAUUCGAUGGAUUGGUGACUGGCUCCUCGGUUGCCGAUUGCUUGUGGAUGGCCCUUUUUGGGUUUGUUUGGCAGAGUUCUCCUGCUGGGUUGGCCAGUUCUGUACGCUUUCCUUGCGGGGUUUCUCUGGUUGUGUCAUGGUUGUUGCUGCAGAUUCCAAAUGCUAUAGUUUGCUUUGUUGGUUUGCUAGAAGUUGAUUUGCAGCUGUUAUGUGCUGUGAUAUUGUUUAGCUUCUGGAGGGAAGUCUGGUCAGUUGGCUUCUUGCGUCCAGCUUGUUGGUCCUUCUGUUCUUGGAUACUUUUCCGGCAGGCCUGCUGGGACGUGUCUGCUGUGGAUGUGUCCCUAGCUUUGCCUGACUGCUUUGCUGUGUGUCCUACGGGUUUUUGUUGUUGACUGCUGUUUGAAGUCCUGUUCUUGCUACCUGAGGCUGCUAAUGCUUUGGGUGGUUUGCCUAGCUGCUUGAAGCUAGUUGUUGGAGCUGGACUUCGUUCCAGCCCUAUGGUGCUGCCACUAUUGUUGGUUGGGUUUGUUUGUUCAGGCUGUUGCUGAGUAUUGUAUGACCCGGUUUUUGCUGGUUUGUUGAUACUUCGGCUGCUUGUUGCUGCGCUCUAUCCACCAGGUGGUUUCUGUAGCUUGUAUUUUCAUUUUGAGUUUGCUGCGUUUUGAAGGUGCAAAUAGAUGGUGUCCCGUUGAUGGAUGUGCAUCCUAGUCAGCGGUGGUUACUGCUACAUGCAGUAUACUUCUGGGUUUGUUUCAGUGGAAUACUCCUAGUAUGCUAGAGUAGCUGUGUGGUUUCCUCUCUAGCUAGUGUUGCUGUUUUUUGUAGCUUGGUUUGCUAUGCUCUUCGAAGCCGGAAGCUGACACUUCUGUUGGCUUUUGCUGGUCUGUUAUGUGAUCAUUGAUGUGUUAGGUGGUGCGACUGGGAUCGGAUCAUUGACCGAGCAAGGACACCCCACUAAAGGAAUAGAGGUGCAACCAGAAUUGGAUCUUCAACUAGGCGAGGACAUACUACGAGGGGAGCAGAUGGGGAGUAAAGGUAAGGACGUUGAUAACUGGCAAGAGGAAGGUCCUCUAGAUGAUACUACUUCUUAUGUGCCUGUAAUAUCAUCUUAGUCUAGACAAGGAGAAGCAGCGGGAAUUUAGAAAGAACAGGCCUUGAAAUGAACAGAGGGGUUACGAGCGACAAGGUCAGACCUGCAAGGAAAAACAAAGAUACCCCUCCGAUGACUUCAACAUGAGUAUCCACACCUUAUGCAAAUCCAAGGUUUCUAGUGCAAAUAGUCAAGGCAAUAAUAAAAGGUAUGACCAGUACUACACCUCAUAUUCAACAACAUCGACCCCACUAGUAACCCUAGGGAUUUACGCAACCACUGAUAAUGUGGUGCUCUUGGUAUGACUGGUUAAAAGCAUGAGAGAAAUGGGCUACAAACCCUAUAUGGGGGAGCAAUAUGUUGAAAUAGCUAGAAAAUGGAUCAUGAAAGUGGAGAAGACUACGAUUCAAAUUAAAAUUCCCGAAGACUUAGAGGUAAAUUGCGCCACACAGUUACUAUUUGAUCGAGCCAUGACAUGGUGGGAAACCGUCCAGUUAAGACGUGCUAUAGAAGCAUUGACCUGGAUUGACUUCAAAUUCAAAUUUGAAAAUCAAUUCUACUCCAGGUAUCAUUGCAAGGUGAAGGAACAAGAAUUUCUAGCAUUGAAACAAGGAGAGAUGUCAGUGUUAGAGCAUGAAAGGCGAUUUCAUGACCUCUCAUUAAUUGCCCCACAUUAUGUCUAAACCAAAGAGCAUAUGAUAAAAAAAUUUGAAGGAUGGUUUCCGCCAGGAGUUGAGGCAAGGAUUCAUUGCCUUACAAUUCAAAAUAGUGAGGGAGUUAAUUGAAGCAUCACAAGCAUUGUGUAACAACUCUGAUUUUCUACAUCCUUUUCUGCGAAUCAUUGAAAAUAUUCAGUGUAAUUUUUAUAUUAUUAUUAUUAUUAUUAUUAUU